UACGGGAGGCAGCAGUGGGGAAGUAUUGCACAAUGGGCGCAAGCCUGAUGCAGCCAUGCCGCGUGUAUGAAAAAGGCCUUCGGGUUGUAAAGUACUUUCUAGUCGUGAGGAAGGUGUUAAGGUUAAUAACCUUAGCAAUUGACGUUAGCGACAGAAGAAGCACCGGCUAACUCCGUGCCAGCAGCCGCGGUAAUACGGAGGGUGCGAGCGUUAAUCGGAAUUACUGGGCGUAAAGGGCACGCAGGCGGUUAAUUAAGUUGGAUGUGAAAUCCCCGGGCUUAACCUGGGAAUGGCAUUCAAGACUGGUUAGCUAGAGUCUUGUAGAGGGGGUAGAAUUCCAUGUGUAGCGGUGAAAUGCGUAGAGAUGUGGAGGAAUACCGGUGGCGAAAGGCGGCCCCCUGGACAAAAGACUGACGCUCAUGUGCGAAAAGCUGGGGAGCAAACAGGGAUUAGAUACC
rnacentral:rRNA from 1 species